rnacentral:rRNA from 1 species
AUUGAACGCUGGCGGCAUGCUUUACACAUGCAAGUCGAACGGCAGCGCGGGCUUCGGCCUGGCGGCGAGUGGCGAACGGGUGAGUAAUGCAUCGGAACGUGCCCAGUAGUGGGGGAUAGCCCGGCGAAAGCCGGAUUAAUACCGCAUACGACCUGAGGGUGAAAGCGGGGGACCGAAAGGCCUCGCGCUAUUGGAGCGGCCGAUGUCGGAUUAGCUAGUUGGUGGGGUAAAGGCUUACCAAGGCGACGAUCCGUAGCUGGUCUGAGAGGACGACCAGCCACACUGGGACUGAGACACGGCCCAGACUCCUACGGGAGGCAGCAGUGGGGAAUUUUGGACAAUGGGGGCAACCCUGAUCCAGCCAUGCCGCGUGCGGGAAGAAGGCCUUCGGGUUGUAAAGCGCUUUUGUUCGGGAAGAAAUACUCUGGGCUAAUACCCCGGGGGGAUGACGGUACCGGAAGAAUAAGCACCGGCUAACUACGUG